UCUAUGGAUGAGAAAUGCGGAUAUGGGA
rnacentral:piRNA from 1 species